rnacentral:rRNA from 1 species
AAAUUGAAGAGUUUGAUCAUGGCUCAGAUUGAACGCUGGCGGCAGGCCUAACACAUGCAAGUCGAGCGGAAACGAGUUAUCAGAACCUUCGGGGGACGAUAACGGCGUCGAGCGGCGGACGGGUGAGUAAUGCCUAGGAAAUUGCCCUGAUGUGGGGGAUAACCAUUGGAAACGAUGGCUAAUACCGCAUGAUGCCUACGGG